rnacentral:misc_RNA from 1 species
UCUCCGUUGGUGAACCAGCGGAGGGAUCAUUACCGAGUGCAAACUCAUAACCCUUUGUGAACCUAUAUCUGUUGCCUCGGCGGCUCGCUCUCGGGCGAGCCCGCCGGUAAUAUCAGUAUCUCUGUUUGAACCCGACGAUACUUCUGAGUGUUCUUAGCGAACAGUUAAAACUUUUAACAACGGAUCUCUUGGCUCUA